ACGGCAGAACCGCACUUGGCAGUCAAACAGAAGCUUAUUGCCUUCUAUUUGGCUGCAUCAGAUCAACACGGCACUUAUGUGGUGGAUCAGUAAUAUUAGCUACAUUUGAAGUGCCACGACGAAAGAGUGUGAAAAUGUCUGCAAGGACUCCAUCAAAGGACCGUAGUCGUCGACGACUGUAUGAUCUUUGGCUGCAGCCUUAUGUUGUGUUACGCAGAACUGACAUCAGUGAAGCUAUUUGUCCUAGGCAGCAGGCGCAAGAGCGCACUCGCGUUAAAGAGGAAGAUGGAGGCAAAGAGGUCCACCACUUUGAUGAACAAA